AUUGAACGCUGGCGGCAGGCCUAACACAUGCAAGUCGAACGAGUGGCGGACGGGUGAGUAAUGUCCGGGCAACUGCCCGAUGGAGGGGGUUAACUCCUGGAAACGGUAGCUAAUACCGCAUACCAUCGGAUGUGCCCAGAUGGUAUUAGCUAGUAGGUGGGGUAACGGCUAACCUAGGCGACGAUCCAUAGCUGGUCUGCGAGGAGGACCAGCCACACUGAAACUGAGACACGGUCCAGACUCCUACGGGAGGCAGCAGUGGGGAAUAUUGGACAAUGGGCGCAAGCCUGAUGCAGCCAUGCCGCGUGUAUGAAGAAGGCCUUCGGGUUGUAAAGUACUUUCAGCGAGGGAGCGUUACUCGCAGAAGAAGCACCGGCUAACUCCGUGCCAGCAGCCGCGGUAAUUC
rnacentral:rRNA from 1 species